rnacentral:lncRNA from 1 species
UUGAUUACUAUCACAGUUAACUUGUCCUUGUGGUUCUAGAUCCCUAUAUGUAUAAACAUGCCUUUUGUCUUUUUUAUAUAGCCCAUGUUGGCUGUCAGCUUUUUUGAUUAUUUUUUUUUUCUCUUUCUUCCUUCACUGGUUGUACAGGUUGGUAGGAUUCAAUUUCAGUGUUUGUAAGGUGCCAUAGAUUCAAAGUGAUCUAAUGGCUGACAUUUGGG